CCAGACUCCUACGGGAGGCAGCAGUGGGGAAUCUUAGACAAUGGGGGCAACCCUGAUCUAGCCAUGCCGCGUGAGUGAUGAAGGCCCUAGGGUUGUAAAGCUCUUUCAACGGUGAAGAUAAUGACGGUAACCGUAGAAGAAGCCCCGGCUAACUUCGUGCCAGCAGCCGCGGUAAUACGAGAGGCCCGAGCGUUAGGCGGAAUCACUGGGCUUAAAGGGUGCGUAGGCGGAUCAGUAAGCAUUUUGUGAAAUCCCUCGGCUCAACCGAGGAAUUGCAGAGUGAACUGCUGGUCUUGAGGUAGGCAGAGGUCAUCGGAACGUACGGUGGAGCGGUGAAAUGCGUAGAUAUCGUACGGAACGCCGAAGGGGUAGCCAGGUGACUGGGCCUUACCUGACGCUGAGGCACGAAAGCGUGGGGAUCAAACAGGAUUAGAUACCCUGGUAGUCCACGCCGUAAACUAUGACUACUCGAUAUUGGCGAUACACUGUCAGUGUCUAAGCGAAAGUGAUAAGUAGUCCACCUGGGGAGUACGUUGGCAACAAUGAAACUCAAAGGAAUUGACGGGGGCCCGCACAAGCGGUGGAGCAUGUGGUUUAAUUCGAUUCAACGCGAAGAACCUUACCAGGACUUUUAUCUAUUUAAUUUUAAGAAAUUAAAAUUUAGUGAAGUAGAAAUAGGUGGUGCAUGGCUGUCGCCAGCUCGUGUCGUGAGAUGUUGGGUUAAUUCCCUUAACGAGCGCAACCCUUGUUUGGUCAGUUGUUAUGGAUUUCUGAGAAGACUGCCGAUGAGAAAUCGGAGGAAGGUAAGGAUGACGUCAAGUCAGUAUGCCCCGUAUGUCCUGGGCUACACACGUGCUACAAUGGUUAAGACAAAGAGCCGCUUACUUGUAAAAGAUGAAGAAGCCAAAGUAAGUAAAAUUAUUUUAGUAAGAGCAAAUCUCCAAACUUAAUCGAAGUUCGGAUUGUAGGCUGCAACUCGCCUACAUGAAGUUGGAAUCGCUAGUAAUCGCUGGUCAGCAGUACAGCGGUGAAUUCGUCCCUGGGCCUUGUACACACCGCCCGUCACACCAUGGAAGUUGGUCAGGCUGGAAACUAAUAUUAAAUUAGUAGUUAAAGUGGGGCGAGCGACUGGGGUGAAGUCGAAACAAGGUAGCCGUACUGGAAGGUGCGGCUGGAUCAUCUA
rnacentral:rRNA from 15 species